AUGUCCCAGGUCCUGCAUCGCCGGUGGCUCUCCCAGCUCCUGCAGUUUGCCGGGAGAUGCCUGCUGCGGCACCCAGGUGCCCUCGCCGGCUCCAGGUUGGGCCGCAGCGAGCCCAUGGCCCCCAGGGGGUUUGGAGAGGGAGCCGGCGGCCUUGCCCAGGGUGUCCGUCCCUGCCGCGCACCCCGACCUGGGGCUGGGCGCCCCGAGCAUGGUGGUGGGAGGCUUUCCUUGGGCGGGGAGCCGCGGUGGGCGCGGGGGAAAUCCGCCCUGCCGGCAGCAAAGCACCGGCUCGCGGCCAACCAACGGCGCUGCCGGGCGUCCUGCCCCCGCCAGCCCUCCCGGCCGGCAGCCCACGGCCUCGGCACUGGGGGGUCCCAUCACCCAUGGUCCCAGCACCGUGGGGUCCCAGCACCGUGGGGUCCCAGCCCGCCCUGGCCGGCUGCGGGCCAGACUCCAGUGUGGGCUGCCCGGCUGCUGCUGGCUAUAGGGGUGCAGACCCAUAUGGGUAUGGGGCUAUAUGGGGUGCAGACAACGUAUGGAGCCGUGGGGGGUGUGGAGCUGUGCAGGCUGCCCAGGCUGUGGGGUUGCACAGGGCACAGAAGCAUAUGGGGUACAGGCCAUACGGGGUGCAGAUCCGCACAGCGUGCCCGUCCAUAUGAGGACAGAUCCCUGCAGCGUGCAGCUCUGUACAGGGCAGAGCUGUGCAACAUGCAGCUCCUCCGUAUGGGGACAGAUCCGUACAGCAUGCAGAUCCAUACGGCAUGCUGGUCCAUAUGGGGACAGAUCCGUACAGCGUGUGGCUCCGUACAGCAUGCCGCUCCAUACGGGGACAGAUCCGUACAGCAUGCGGCUCCGUACAGCAUGCCGCUCCAUACGGGGACAGAUCCGUACAGUGUGCGGCUCUGCACAGUGCGCGGCGCUGCGCGGCGGCGCUGGGCUCCCGCUCGCUCCCCCUUGUGGGAACGGCGACGAGGAGCUCCCGGAGCCGGCUGGGGCCAGUGCGGCGGGAUGCCCCAAGCCGGGACCCCGGCUCCGGGCGGCGGGAGCGGGGGCUGCCAGGCGGCUGCCAGCGCUGCGGGGUCUGGGAAGGGGGAGCCGGGCCGGGCUGCUGCCAGCCCUCUCCGUUCCUGCGGCUCCGGCAUGGCUCCGGCGACCCUGACUUUGCCGGCCAAGCCGGGAGACGCAAAGGGGACGCCGGGGACCUGGCUUUCCCCACAGCGCCGCUGCUGA
rnacentral:lncRNA from 1 species